CGCCACUCACAGGCCGCUACCGUUACAAACAUAGCGCCGGCCGCCGCCCACAGACCCCUCCGCUGCCGCCGCCACUUCCGGGUCGCCCGCGGAAGCGGUUCCGGGGCGCAGAGCGGCGGCUGAGCCCUCUUUUACCUCCAGGAAGUGAGGGGAUGGCUGCUUCUUGCCAAGACAGUGCGGUCAGGUUGCUGGCACACACUGGGCAGGCAAAGGCGCUUGUGCCGAAGGUUGGCAGGAGUGAUGCUUCUUCAAGUGCGUGUGGCACUUCAAAUCAGUCAUCACUUGAGAAAGUCGCAGGAAAGGAGAGCGGGGCAGCAGAUGAAAUGUUUGCAAGGAAAGCAGAGGGAUGUGCAAAGACGAGAUGAAACAGAUGUUCCAGGUCUACAUUACAAUUCAGACAGACAUCUAAAUCAGCUGAAGACAUCAGAACAAAGUGCUUUGUAAGUGUUUCUGUGCUGUCUAUUAGUCAAGGAAUAUUUACAGGCAAUGCACCUAGCAGUACAUAUUUUUUCCUUCACAGCCUUUAAUGUGAUCUUGUGACAGGUAGAUUCCCUUCAGGAAUGUGCUCUGAGGAGGAUCUGUGUAGAGCAGGUUCAAGUACAUACCAUCUCAUUUUGUUGUUAGCUUCUUUGCUUUGCAUUCCCAACUGUAGCCUCACAGGAAAUUCAGUCCCUGGCAAGCUUCAGCUCCAGACAGGAAAUGUUCUAAGGAAUUUCUUCCAUACAGGUACUAUAUUUGCUUGGAGGGAUAACAUGGUGGAGAUAUUUACCUCGGCUGGGUUUAACUAGCAGGAUAUUAUACAUGUUGAUGGAGUUGCUGGAAGUGAUCUGUGUCUGCACCACCAGCAUACCAUGUUUAAACAAAUCGUGCUGCUCUGCCUGCCUGUGGGAAGAUGUGCAUCAGAUCUGGGCCAGAUUCUCCUUCCCCUGACAGCAGUACAGCCCAGCUUAUGUCAAAGAUAUCUGCUGAUGUCAGAGAGUAUCAGAAUCAGACCUGUACAGCAGGUUUUUAUCACACAGCAAACUCGGUCUUGUGCUAUUUGUGUGUACAGAUAUCUGCAAAUGGGUAUUUUGGUAGGAGCAGUGACUGUGAGAGGGUGCAGGCUUAGGCUGUGUGUGCAGGUGAAGGGAGGUCUCUGCUCUUGCCUUUGCUUUCUGAGUGGAGCAGACAUGGGAAGGGUGACCUGUAGUAGCAUACCACCUUUUGGAUGAAGGGAUGAAGGGGAGGUACUGAGACACGAGCUUCAUGCACCCCACGGGGCUCACUUGGGAUGCUUUCCAGGUCUCCUUUGUCUGCAAGUUCAGAGCAAGCCUGUUCUGCUUAUUAGUCCAGAGGAGAUCGCAGCAGUCCAAAACACAAGUGCCAUACCUCCCUUGGCCGCUUUGCUCGGUAACUUCAGCAUCAUCUGUGAACUGUGAUGUGGUGGGUUGAAUAUUUCUUGAUGCACCCAAGAGAAACGUCCUUUCCUUACCAAAACACAUGAGUGAGUGCCAGUCUUUAAUGCAGUUCUCAGGGUACAAGGUGUGGAGAGAGAAGACCGAUCAGUCUGAGUCAUCGUCUCCCAAGAGAAAUGUGAGGGAUUAAGUAUAUGGCUGGGAACAAUCCUACGCUGGCAAGGAAAUGGACUGCAUGACCCAUCUCAGAGAUCUAUGAUUCACUGCAAAUACAGAGUAUGAGCACAAAAAUGUGUAGUAACACGCAGUGUGGUACCUUGCCUGCUAUUAGAACACAGCCUCCAGCCAGAGACAACCCGACCACAUUUACAGGUGUGCUCUGGGAACAGGCUCUUUCUGUGGGGAGCCAUGAAAGAUAGAAGGAUGCCUUCAAAGCCUUAGAGGUCUCUGUGCUGCUGUGCCAAGCGUGGAAACGUAUCUGCGCGUGCAGUGCCGGAGCAUGGAUUUUUGGUGAUGGUUAUUUGUGUUUCUGGGGCAGGAAGCGUGAGUGCAGAUCCUCCCACUUAAUGCUAUGGAGGGGGGAAGAAAAGAUUCACAGACUCCCUUGCAGUGUUUGUUAGUGAAAACGCAGCUUUGGCCUUUAGUGCCCUUUGUUACAUAAACACAAGUAGUGUAGACAUAUUAAUCACCCUGCCAUUGAGGGAGGAACAGAGCAGCAACCUCAGAUGCCACCCACUCCCCAUUCUCGCUCCCAUUUGACGUUGCUAUUUUAAGGCACACAUUAUUUCCUGCUGUGAUUUUAUUUUUUUACCCAGCUUCUAAUUCUGGCUCUGAGGUAAGCUGUGACACACGUAUCCCUCCUCUCCCCCUCCCCGCCUUCCUCCUCCCCCUGCACCCACGUCCUCUUUACCGCUCUCUUUUAGACAUUUUCUCUCCGUGUCUCGUAAACAGGCAGCUUCCAGAGGUUAGUUAUUGCCUGCCUGGGAAUGAUCAAAAAGGCUGAUCUUUUGGACUUCGAUGCAAACAAUCUCAGGACCAUGGCUUGCAGGGCACACUGCUUUGAAAGUGCUGUUCCACUCAGAGAGGUUACUGUUGUUGUGAGGAUGGUCUGUCUGGGAAGGAAGGCUGUUAAUGAUGGGCCAUGGCUUGUGCAGUCAUGGGAUGAGAAGGGUACUGCGUGAGCGGCACGUGCUUUGUGGUGUGGAGAAGACAGAACAGAGCUCAACUGCUCUACGGUGGGUUUCUCUCCUGAGCCUGCUUCUGUGUAAGGGCAAUCAGCACGUUUCUAUGCCCCCAGUAAUUUCUCUCCCAGGGAACUGCUUCACCCUGCCUGGCCAGAACGCAGCUCAUGUCUGUCUGGUUCUGCUGCAUCCAUGUAUCUC